UGGGGAAUUUUCCGCAAUGGGCGAAAGCCUGACGGAGCAAUACCGCGUGAGGGAGGAAGGCUUUUGGGUUGUAAACCUCUUUUAUAAAGGAAGAAGCAAGUGACGGUACUUUAAGAAUAAGCAUCGGCUAACUCCGUGCCAGCAGCCGCGGUAAUACGGGGGAUGCGAGCGUUAUCCGGAAUCACUGGGCGUAAAGAGUCUGUAGGUGGUUUAGCAAGUCUACUGUUAAAUAUUAAAGCUCAACUUUAAAACAGCAGUAGAAACUUCUAGACUUGAGUAUGGUAGGGGUAGAGAGAAUUCCCAGUGUAGCGGUGAAAUGCGUAGAUAUUGGGAAGAACACCGGUGGCGAAAGCGCUCUACUGGGCCAUGACUGACACUCAGAGACGAAAGCUAAGGUAGCGAAUGGGAUUAGAUACCCCCGUAGUCC
rnacentral:rRNA from 1 species